AACAACUGAUCAGGUGAAGUUAAAAAGUUUUUACCAGUAAGUCUUGUUGUUAUUGAUUGUAAUUUCUCCAACAAACUUUUAAGCACGCAUUGCUAUUUUGUAUCGACAUAUUUAUCUAAAUGUUCGUAUUUGGAAAUACAUUUGAUGACUAACUGUGUGCCUUUUUUGUCAGAAUCUUAUUCAUAUUUUGAACCUUUAAGCCAUUAUUGAUGGACGAAGUGAGAUUGCAGAUGGAAUAAGUGACGCAGAAGCUAUAUCAGACUUCACUCUCUUCAAAUCCUUUAAUGUUUUGUCUUGGAGCAACAGAUUCCCAAAUUGAGUAAAUCGUUAACCAUGAUGAAACAAGUAAGACUCUCUCUUUAGGCCCCCAAAUCUAAGAUGCCCAUUUUUUCAGCAAUAGUAAAUUUAUAAUUUUUUUUAAAUAAAAAAUAUUAGACUUACAAAGUUUGCUUUGCAGAAGCGGAUCCAUUACAACCACGGCUGAAUUACCGAUCGAAAAAACUUAUCACAAAGUGAAAACAGCUUAAAUAUCUUCUAAAAGAAACAAGUGUAAUUGUUGUUAAUAUUUGUUUGAAUUAUUUUGAUGUUUGUGAUUCUUGUGUAGAGAUUAACUGAAGAGCAUAAGGGUGUAACUCCAUCUUUGGUCAUUUGGAUGAGAAAGUCAAUUAUGUCAUGAUAAAGAAAUGGACCUUAGAUAAUUCAACAUGUUAGCACCAAUGAAUAGGUGAGAUAAUUUGCUCCUGAUAUUUCUGGACUGACUGCAUUUCAGGUGAUAAACAAAGCUAGCAAAUUUUAGAUAUACUAGCUUUUAAUGAAGGGAUGAUCGAAAAUCCUUUCUAAGGAUCCAUGAACCGUUGGUAUUAGAUCCUUUCUAAGUAUCCAAGAACCAGUUAAUAAUACUCAUCGGCCGGGGCUAAAUCACGAUCCAAUUCUUAAUCUGUACUUUCCUGAAGUAUUCUGGCUCUUAGCGAAGGAAGCUGUCAUAAACAGGAAUAUUAAGUGUUCAAGAAUGAUAUGUAAAUAACCUCUGUAAAUAACUUUAUUUUCUCGAGAAACGUUACUGAAUGUUUGGAAGUCCACAAAUGUUCUCAAAUUUUUUCUAUAUUGCUCAUAUAGAAAAGGAUGUAUAGAAGAGGCAGCAUGUACUGAUGUUUCGCCCCUACUGAUGGCAGUUCUACUGUUUAUUGUGGUAAGAUGUGGCAGUUCCAUAAGAAUAUGGAAGACGUCCAAGUUGCAUGAGUUUUUCUGCAUUGGCAUGAGCAAGACUAUUUCUUAACUGUUUUGUUUUAAUAAUAGCACUUCAUAUUUAUACCCAGACCUAGGUAAUAAUUCCCCCCCCCCCCCCCCCCCCCUAUAACCUUGUCUACUUCAAGCUUUAACUAUUGUGUUAUGUCUGUAUCUUGCUUUAAUUACUUGUUCUACUAUAAAGGGUAAUCAAAUGUCCAGAUGAAGUUUCAAUGACUUCUAUGAUUCUGUCCGCACCAUUGAACUUUUUGAGUCUUUCGUGUAAAAAAUUUCAUUCUUUUAUUCACCAAAUACAAAAGUUAACUAAAGCAUUUAGUAUUCCAAAUAAUUUAUGUUAUGAUCUCAGCUCAUCCAAUUGUUUUCACAGUUCAUCAAAGUUGGACAUAUUGCUGCAGGGAUAUUCCCCAAGAGCAUGUUUUAAACCAAUAUCUUCUGUAAGCAGGUAUGCUCUGAUAUUUUGAACAUACUACUGGUCUUUUAUAUUUUUUCAUAAAAUAUAAUUCAGUAGAUUGACCGAAUAAUAGAUUCAAAUAUUUUGCUCUUACCAUUUCAAUGGAUGAAUCAGAAACAUAGGUUUACUCAUUCUAUAUAAUAGUGAUCAGUAACUCUUUAUCCCUCUUUUUUCACUGUAGAACUUAGUCAUAUUUGUUUUAAAUUAUCAAUCGAAAAAUACAAUCUUUGUGGGUACAGAGAAGACAAUUCUUAAUGCUAGGUUUGGGUAUUAAUGCAAUUCUUAUUAUUUUACAGAAAAAGGGAUGAUGAAAAAAGAAAAGAAACAUUCUCUUUGAAAUAGUACGCUUAUACAUUUUGUAUUUCAGGAUGCGCAUUGAGUACAUGUGAGAUUUUUGGCAGAGCCUGAUCGGAUUGCGGAAGAAUUACUGCAACCAGAUGGCUAUCUCAAAUUGAAAGGGUCUCAAAUCUCUCUUUAACCAAUAAUUUCAAAUUUUACCACAGAAGCAUGGUUAUCUUUGUUUACAAUUAACCAUUACUUUGGAUUGCAAAUUAUUAGAGCAUCAGCAAGAUUAUCUGGUUAUAAUCUUUUGUUACAAAUAAAGACAACUUUAGACUACAAAUUGUUCGCAUGGGCAAGAUUGUCUAGUGUGUGUGUGUAUAUAUAUAUAUGUAUAUGUAUAUUCAUUCAAUUUGUUCAGAAUUUUAUGAGAUGUUAAAGAUGUCACAAAU
rnacentral:lncRNA from 1 species